rnacentral:tRNA from 1 species
UUGUAACUCAUCUGGUAAAGAAUCUGCCUGCAAUGCAGGAGACCCAGGUUCAAUUCCUGGGUUGGGAA